CUCCAGACUCCUACGGGAGGCAGCAGUAGGGAAUUUUGCGCAAUGGGCGAAAGCCUGACGCAGCAACACCGCGUGAAUGUUAAGCCCUUCGGGGUGUAAAGUUCUGUCAGUAGGGAAGAACAAAUGACUGUACCUACAAAGGAAGCACCGACUAACUCCGUGCCAGCAGCCGCGGUAAUACGGGGGGUGCAAGCGUUGUCCGGAAUCAUUGGGCGUAAAGCGUUCGUAGGCGGUAAAGUAAGUCUGAUGUUAAAGCCCGGGGCUCAACUCCGGUUCGGCAUUGGGUACUAUCUAGCUAGAAUGUGGUAGAGGUAAAGGGAAUUCCUGGUGUAGCGGUGAAAUGCGUAGAUAUCAGGAGGAACAUCGGUGGCGAAAGCGCGUUACUGGGCCAUUAUUGACGCUGAGGAACGAAAGCCAGGGGAGCAAAUGGGAUUAGAUACCCUUGUAAA
rnacentral:rRNA from 1 species